rnacentral:rRNA from 1 species
AAACUAACAAGGAUUCCCCUAGUAGCGGCGAGCGAAGCGGGAAGAGCUCAAAUUUAUAAUCUGGCACCUUCGGUGUCCGAGUUGUAAUCUCUAGAAGUGUUUUCCGCGUUGGACCGCACACAAGUCUGUUGGAAUACAGCGGCAUAGUGGUGAAACCCCCGUAUAUGGUGCGGACGCCCAGCGCUUUGUGAUACACUUUCAAUGAGUCGAGUUGUUUGGGAAUGCAGCUCAAAUUGGGUGGUAAAUUCCAUCUAAAGCUAAAUAUUGGCGAGAGACCGAUAGCGAACAAGUACCGUGAGGGAAAGAUGAAAAGCACUUUGGAAAGAGAGUUAACAGUACGUGAAAUUGUUGGAAGGGAAACGCUUGAAGUCAGACUUGCUUGCCGGAGCUUGCUUCGGUUUGCAGGCCAGCAUCAGUUUUCCGGGGUGGAUAAUGACGGUUUGAAGGUAGCAGUCUCGGCUGUGUUAUAGCUUUCCGUUGGAUACGCCCUGGGGGACUGAGGAACGCAGCGUGCUUUUUGCGAAAGACUCGUCUUUUUCACGCUUAGGAUGCUGGUGGAAUGGCUUUAAACGACC